GAUUUCUUAUAUUGUGAACGAGUUAAAGUGAGUGGUCGCUCGAGAUUAGAGGUCCGGAGUUAUGCUAAUUCCUUUCGAGUUACUUUGGCUCCAUCUGCUGUAAUCCCGGAGAUAGCAAAAUUCAAGUUUGUUUUCACCGGAAUGCUUCGCUUGGAUUAUGUCAUUGUGAGAAGGAUGAGUGGAAAUCUAUUCAAAAGGGUCUGUGGAGAUCUAUCAUGUCUCCUUACGGGGG
rnacentral:misc_RNA from 1 species